CACCGGCGGCUCGAGUGGUAACCGUUAUUAUUGGGUCUAAAGGGUCUGUAGCCGGCCGGAUAAGUCUCUUGAGAAAUCUGGCAGCUUAACUGUCAGGCUUUCAGGAGAUACUAUUAGACUUGAGACCGGGAGAGGUUAGAGGUACUCCCAGGGUAGAGGUGAAAUUCUGUAAUCCUGGGAGGACCGCCUGUUGCGAAGGCGUCUAACUGGAACGGUUCUGACGGUGAGGGACGAAAGUUAGGGGCGCGAACCGGAUUAGAUACCCCUGUAGUCCCUGAGCGGGCUGGCAAGG
rnacentral:rRNA from 1 species